AAAAGGGGACCAAGCCUUUUUUGUAGAUCGGGGCUUAUUUUUUGACAUAAUGGCGUUUGUAGUAUUCUUUUCGGGUGUGAAUACGUGAAUUGAGUAUGAGGUGUCGAUGGGUAUAAAGUGGUGCUUUAAGGAUUACCAACUAACAUAAGAAGCAUGAAGAUGAAGCUCUUCCCACGGGGACUCAGUAUGGAAUGCCUCAAAAAAAUGAUGCGAUUGGACAGAUUACCACAGUCUUAGUACAAUGCAAGACAAAACUGAGCAACUAAAGAAGAAAUACGCAACAAUCGAGGAAGUUAAAUUUAAAGCCAGUGUGAACUAUUACCAAUUUUUAUGUCCUUUAAAUAUAACUUAUUGUUUUGUUAAAUCAAAUCAAACACAACAAAUAUUUGGAUGUCAGCCUAAGAUUGCCUAAGAUUAUGCACCCUGAUGCAUAAAAUUUGAAAUAGAAAAUAAAGUAUUAUGCUGAAUUGAAAUAAACAGUCAAGGUAAAAUCGGACUUUAAGGAUUUUAUUUAAUUUGAGUUAAAGCUACUUACAAGUGGUUUUCUAAUUUAUUUUAUUCUAUAACUGAUGAUUUAUGUACAUUCAGCUCAAUACAAAACUUAAUGACUAUUUUAGGAGAAAGUGCAAAUACGUGACUAUUGUGUGUAUUAAUAAUUGUUUUAGCUUUAACACUGAUCCAAAUGAUUUCACGUUUAUUUGAACGUUUGUAUAUUGUUAUAGAUUAUUGUAGAUUGUAAUGCAGGGUAAUCAAUCUAUAAAAGUGGUUUAAAAUUGGUAAAAUUAAAAACAAUACUGUGAAAUUCUUACUUAGAAUCUUGCGCAGAGAUACUGAUCUUUUGAGAUCUUUAAGAGCCUAUAAAACUUGUAUUGCCCUAAAUCAUCUGGUUCAUUUAUACUACUUGUGUGUAUUUAAUUAUCAAAUGUGUAUUAAACAUAAUUUGUUCAAGUUCUUUUAUAAUCUCCUAUUUCUGUAAUUCCGAUAAAUUAUUUUUUUGAACUUUGAAACUGUCGUUUUUUCUUUGCACAUCCGUUAUUUCUUCACUUUUCUAUUGUUUUUUAAUAUGUUCAUCCAUUAAAGAUAUAGUAGCUGAACUUACUCAUUUGAAUCUUUGGAUAUAUCUUUUCAUGAAGUAAAUAUGGUUUAUUAAAAAGUCAAUUUAUAUUUGUAUUACAUCUGUGCCUAUUCUUGUGGUGACCUGAUUGUUCAAAAGCUCGCAAAGUCAACCCGUCUGGUAACGCUGAAUUUAUGUCGGCUCGCAUUUAACUAAAAGUGACAGUUGGAAUUUCUUAUGAUAUCAAAAAUAGAGUAAAAAGAAGUACCCAACUAAUCGGAGCCCCAGAAAACAAUUCCCUCCGUCACCCUUUGAGCGUCGUACUCUCUUUGUCUGAAAAUUAAAAUAUUGCAAAUUAUAAAACAUUUUCGCUGUUAGAAACGGCGCAGCGCCGCAUUUCUAAUAAAGAAUUAGCGAAAAUGCUUUUAAAAGAUUUCUCCUUUGAUGCCGGAAUAUUUAUAUUUCUCUUUUAGAAAACGAGCUUGAAUGCCUUAAAUUAAUGUCGGAGAAAAGUCUAAAUUGUUUCCAGGGCUCCGUAGCCGUCGUCCUUGGCGAAAGGAACUGAUGGCGUUCAUAAGUUUGUUAAACGUGAAGUGUUUUGAUAAACCGAUUUUCGAUAUGGACUGCUGCAGUAUUAUCAAAUUAUUAAUUAGCUAUUUAGUUGUUUUCGCUCAACUUUUAUCAAAGUUUGUUCAAAAUCUUUUAAUACUUUUAUACAGUGGCUUCCGUACUUUAUGAAUACAUAUCUAAAAAUAACUUUAAUACCCAGGCCUGCAUACUUAUAAUUCGUGUAAGAUCUUUCAACUCUGAAAGAAAUCAGCAAUAUGUGAAUUCCUCCAAAAUUAAAUUUUGUUGUUUACAAUUUAACAAUUAUUUGUCAUUUAAACUGUGUAUUUCUUACAUUCGAACUUUGCACACAUGUGCAAUAUGUUUUAGUUAAUGGAGUAAAAAGUUCAAUAAUAAAGAAGUUUUGUUAA